rnacentral:rRNA from 1 species
AAUCAAGCGCGAAAAGGGCGUUUGGUGAAUGCCUUGGCAGUAAGAGGCGAUGAAGGACGUGAUACUCUGCGAUAAGUCCUGGGGAGCUGAGAAUAAGCUUUGAUCCAGGAAUUUCCGAAUGGGGCAACCCACCUGACAGUUUGUUAUUGUUGCGCAAGCAAUCAAUAACCGGCUGAACCAGGUAUUUAUAACCUGAAUACAUAGGGUUAUAAAAGCAAACCCGGGGAACUGAAACAUCUAAGUACCCGGAGGAAAGGACAUCAAUUGAUACUCCCCUAGUAGCGGCGAGCGAACGGGGACCAGCCGAGCCAUGAAUGUGACUGGAACAGACUGGAAAGUCUGGCCAUAGCGGGUGACAGCCCCGUACAGGAAGCAUGAUUGGACGUAUUAAGUAGGGCGGGACACGUGAAAUCCUGUCUGAAGAUCGGAGGACCACCUUCGAAGGCUAAGUACUCCUUACUGACCGAUAGCGAACCAGUAC